UUUUUCGACGGAGACAUAUGUCGGAAGAACCGGAACUUGGGCACGAUACAAUCGUCACCGUGAACAUUAUGAGUUAGUGUAUUUGGUUGUCAAAAUCAGAGUUAUAUUGAAUGAGAAAUGAAAGUUCAAAAUGAGUGACAUGCAAAACUUAUAAAGUUUUAAAUUUGGCUAAAUAUAAAAUAUUUAGCAAAUUCGAUCACUUUGGAUAUAUGAGUUGGAAUUUGAACUUAAAUUUGUUAAUUGGACAUUACGUCAAUUAACUUAUUUAGUUAUUCUUAUUCAUGAUAAUUUGUAUAUUUAUAUAUCUAUCUAUAUCUAUAAUAAUAAAGUAUACACGUGUCGGCUCUGGACUUAUGUUUCGAUAAUGAAUCUAUAUGGGCCGUCAUUUGGUUGUGAAAGUUCCGUUUGUUUUUAUUGGCUGGGCCUAUCAUUAUAUCUCGGCCUGGGAUUCCGCUAGGGUUUCUUAAUCGCUUUCUCUUUGUUACUCGGAGCCGUAGACAUUCAGAUUCAGAUGGCUAUGGUUUCUGAUUAAAAAAAAAAAAAAAUGAAAUGUUUGCCAUUCUCCUUAACUCCACCAUUAAUCCAAUCUUUAAGCUACGCCCACCUUCCAUCUCAUUUACUGGGUAUCAUUAUCGGCGGAUGUAACGGCUUGGAGCUCGACCUAUAAAUGGCUCUUUUGGGAUCGAUCAAGACCUACAUCGGUUAACGCAUAACCAUCAAAUAUGUCUAAUUCAAACGUUCUUCUCGCCAAUUUAAAAGCCGGCUGUCUGUCAACUCUUAUCCAAGAGAUCAUCCUCAUCUCGGUGAAGGUUCUGUGUAAUUCGCUCAGUGGAUUUGAUGUCACACGGAGCCAAAUUUGAAAGGCACGGCUCAAAGCCAAAUUUGAAACUGAUAAUGUACGCCCUGAAGUGUUAACGUAAGUUGCAAAGAGGAUCCUCAUCAUUCACUUGCGCAGCAGGUAAUACAUUUUUAAUACACUAUCAACCAUUAUUCGCAGUUCAUCUGUUACCAAUCUCAUUUUUUUUCUCUCUCUACCGAGUCCAUCUGGCUGUUUAUGAUGCAUCUGAUACGGCUGUCUUUGUGUCAUUCGACACUGCAAUGGCUCAACUUACGAAUGUUCGAGCUGCAGAAGUAUCCCAACUCACUUGAUUGCUGACUCAUCUAAUAUCACCGCCUAAGCUGUUAAAAGUAAAUUCCUCUCAUGGUCUAAACAAGGGUGCCUUGCCUUCGCUACUUCUGGAAUGAUAAGAGGGAGCUACAGCCUCAAUAGACGUGGUGCAUAAUGAACUUUUACACGGUGUUAUAAAACUACAGAUGGUCACCCACUUCGAGGAUGGGCGCGGCAGAAAAAUGCAUGUAAUGCUUAACUUCCCACCUGGUAGUUGUAUGUUCGUUUAAUAACUUCGAAAGCUUUUGCCUUGACAGUUUUAAUAAUAUUUACCUUUCAUUAUCUGUUAUUGUUGUAAUUAAAGUAACCUUGGUAUCCCAUCGUUUAAAUGGUUCCCCCCAAGAUCACUGUAACAUCAUAAUUAGAACCUAAAAACUUUUAUCUUAA